rnacentral:rRNA from 1 species
UGCGUAGGCGGAUUAAUAAGUCAGUGGUGAAAUCUUUCGGCUCAACCGAGAAACUGCCAUUGAUACUGUUAAUCUUGAGUUCGGUUGAGGUAGGCGGAAUGUGUAAUGUAGCGGUGAAAUGCUUAGAUAUUACACAGAACACCAAUUGCGUAGGCAGCUUACUAGACCGGCACUGACGCUGAGGCACGAAAGCGUGGGGAGCGAACAGGAUUAGAUACCCUGGUAGUCC